rnacentral:rRNA from 1 species
UAGUAACGGCGAGUGAAGCGGCAACAGCUCAAAUUUGAAAUCUGGCCUUCGGGUCCGAGUUGUAAUUUGUAGAGGAUGCUUUUGGCGCGGUGCCUUCCGAGUUCCCUGGAACGGGACGCCUUAGAGGGUGAGAGCCCCGUACGGUUGGACACCAAGCCUCUGUAAAGCUCCUUCGACGAGUCGAGUAGUUUGGGAAUGCUGCUCUAAAUGGGAGGUAAAUUUCUUCUAAAGCUAAAUAUUGGCCAGAGACCGAUAGCGCACAAGUAGAGUGAUCGAAAGAUGAAAAGCACUUUGAAAAGAGGGUUAAAUAGCACGUGAAAUUGUUGAAAGGGAAGCGUUUGCGACCAGACCUUUUCCUGGCGGAUCAUCCGGUGUUCUCACCGGUGCACUUCGUCGGGUUGAGGCCAGCAUCGGUUUCUGUAGGGGGAUAAAAGCCCUGGGAACGUAGCUCCUCCGGGAGUGUUAUAGCCCUCUGCAUAAUACCCUUACGGGGACCGAGGACCGCGCUUCGGCAAGGAUGCUGGCAUAAUGGUCGUCAACGACCCGUCUUGAAACACGGACCAAGGAGUCGAACAUUUGUGCGAGUGUUUGGGUGUUAAACCCUCACGCGUAAUGAAAGUGAACGGAGGUGAGAGCCCUUAUGGGUGCAUCAUCGACCGAUCCUGAUGUCUUCGGAUGGAUUUGAGUAAGAGCAUAACUGUUCGGACCCGAAAGAUGGUGAACUAUGCGUGGAUAGGGUGAAGCCAGAGGAAACUCUGGUGGAGGCUCGCAGCGGUUCUGACGUGCAAAUCGAUCGUCAAAUCUGCGCAUGGGGGCGAAAGACUUAUCGAACCAUCUAGUAGCUGGUUACCGCCGAAGUUUCCCUCAGGAUAGCAGUGUUGUUCUUCAGUUUUAUGAGGUAAAGCGAAUGAUUAGGGACUCGGGGGCGCUUUUUAGCCUUCAUCCAUUCUCAAACUUUAAAUAUGUAAGAAGCCCUUGUUACUUAAUUGAACGUGGGCAUUCGAAUGUACCAACACUAGUGGGCCAUUUUUGGUAAGCAGAACUGGCGAUGCGGGAUGAACCGAACGCGGGGUUAAGGUGCCGGAGUGGACGCUCAUCAGACACCACAAAAGGUGUUAGCACAUUUAGACAAUAGGACGGUGGCCAUGGAAGUCGGAAUCCGCUAAGGACUGUGUAACAACUCACCUAUCGAAUGUGCUAGCCCUGAAAAUGGAUGGCGCUCAAGCGUCCCACCCAUACCUCGCCCUCAGGGUAGAAACGAUGCCCUGAGGAGUAGGCGGCCGUGGGGGUCAGUGA